rnacentral:rRNA from 1 species
UACGUAGGGUGCAAGCGUUAAUCGGAAUUACUGGGCGUAAAGCGUGCGCAGGCGGUUCUAUAAGACAGAUGUGAAAUCCCCGGGCUCAACCUGGGAACUGCAUUUGUGACUGUAGAGCUGGAGUGCGGCAGAGGGGGAUGGGAUUCCGCGUGUAGCAGUGAAAUGCGUAGAUAUGCGGAGGAACACCGAUGGCGAAGGCAAUCCCCUGGGCCUGCACUGACGCUCAUGCACGAAAGCGUGGGGAGCAAACAGG